CUUUGCAUGUCCCCCAAAGGCCACGUCUGAAGACGAGGCCUUGUUACGUUGCCCAAGCUGGUCUUCAACUUCUGGGCCCAAGGGAUCGACCUGCCUCAGCUUCUCAAUGACAGAAAGCUGACUACCACACUGGCCCUCAGUUUUCUUGAAUCCGCCUACCUCAGGAGACAUUUAGGGUGAGAAAAAGUUUGCUCAGCACCUGGAAGGAAGCUCCCCCACCACCAUCCCAAGCUCCUAGGGCAGAGAAGGAGACCCGGUGCCAGCACCCAGAAGGAAGCUCCCUCGCCGCUAUCCCAAGCUCCUAGGGCAGAGAAGGUGAGCUGGUCCAAGCACUCGGAAGGAAGCUCCUCUGCUGCCAUCCGAAGCUCCUAGGGCAGAGAAGCAGAUCCUCUGCAAGGCAAGGCCACACCCCUUCUACGGGGCUCAGCAGCUUUGAGAAUCCUCCCUGACCAUCAGGCCCUCCGUCAGCAGUGUUCUCCCCAGGCCAUCUGGAUUUCAGAUGACGGUUCCCCGGAC
ensembl:lncRNA